AGGAAACCAUGCGGAGAGAGUAUCCGCAUUUAUUCGAAUCGACGAGUUAAGGUAUGUGUAAUUUCGCGGACGAAAUUAUUUUAAGGGGUGGAGAAUGUAAUAUACCGAAAAUUCAGAAAAUAAAUGUCGAACUUUAGUCAAAUUGACCAAAGUGCGAUGAUGGAACACUUCGGAAAGUCCGAAGGUGUUAAAAUGAUUAAAAGUGAGUUACGGGAGGUUUUCGAGAGCUAAAAGUUGUGAAAUCUGCAUUCUGCAGGUUUUCAGCUCUCGGGGAGCGGUCCCUGGUGGGAGAGACCAGUCCNCCCGGGGAUCCUCUAGAGUCGACCUGCAGGCAUGCAAGCUUUUGGAGCAAAGAGGCUUCAUCUCCUUCUUCUCUAGUGCAAGAAAAUGAAGCUUACAAGGUAAGCUUUGAACCCUAAUGUAGUAAAACCCUAGAAAUGGGUUUGAAUGAACCUAUAAAUGGUUUCUAAAGGAAUAUCUAGUAGUUUGAUGCUUUCUUUUUACUUCUUUAAAGAUCAAAACCAUGGUUGAGCUCAAAGUGAGCUUCAACCCACCUCUAAUGGUGAAAUCUAAUCUAGGGUUUUGGAAAGCCUAAGAAUGGUUCUAAUGGGCUAUUUAGAGUGUAGUGAAGCUACUUUUGCUUCUCUUUGAGAUCAAACCCUAGGUUUGAUGAUGCUAAGGAGCUAGGGCACCCAAAUUGGGGCUUUUGCUCAUAGGGGUUUCUAAGUGCAAUUGACCAUCUAGAAACCUAAUUGGGGGUGUUUCCGACGCGUUGGUGCGCUCGGAAUAGCAUUACGAAAAGUCUAUAGAAAGAUAUGGGCAAAAUGGCCUAAGUUGGCUUCGUUUUGCCGCAGGUAAAGAACGAAGAAUCUAAAUAUCCUGAGAAAAUCGUCGGAGCACCUAAAGAGAUCUACAAGGUGGGUGGUGCUUUCCAAACUCAUUGAAAUUCUCUCUAUGCCUAAUGUGUCAUUCUUUGAGCAUAUAUUCUAUAUAUUGUUGCAUGCAUUUUAGGGUAAAGUAAUGAUGAAAUGUGAUGAUUGCAUGAUUGUGAGCACAACUUGCAUAAUGAGAUGGUUGAGAACCUAAUAAUGUCAAAAAAUCCUAGAUGUAUGCAUGAGAGAAUAUGUGAGUACCGAAGUCAGCAAAAGAACAGAGUGACACUGUGACAUAGAUCGAGUGGCAUCUAAAUAAUGUAAAGUAAAGUGACACUAGAGUUAGUGUGAAGCAAAGAAUCGAAGUGAUAUAAAGAAUGAUGNUCUCCGAAAGUAUAUCCAAAACGCGACACAUGUAUUGGAAUACGAGCCCGUGGAGCUACAUGAAGACAUGUCUUAUGAGGAGUACCCCGUGUGCAUCCUUGAUCGAGAAGUGAGGAAGUUGCGAUGUCGCAAGAUUCCGUAUGUAAAAGUCCAAUGGAGCAACCAUGUGGUGCGAGAAGCCACUUGGGAGCUCGAGGAAACCAUGCGGAGAGAGUAUCCGCAUUUAUUCGAAUCGACGAGUUAAGGUAUGUGUAAUUUCGCGGACGAAAUUAUUUUAAGGGGUGGAGAAUGUAAUAUACCGAAAAUUCAGAAAAUAAAUGUCGAACUUUAGUCAAAUUGACCAAAGUGCGAUGAUGGAACACUUCGGAAAGUCCGAAGGUGUUAAAAUGAUUAAAAGUGAGUUACGGGAGGUUUUCGAGAGCUAAAAGUUGUGAAAUCUGCAUUCUGCAGGUUUUCAGCUCUCGGGGAGCGGUCCCUGGUGGGAGAGACC
rnacentral:lncRNA from 1 species